UACGUAGGGUGCGGGCGUUAAUCGGAAUUACUGGGCGUAAAGCGUGCGCAGGCGGCCUCUUAAGUCAGAUGUGAAAUCCCCCGGGGCUUAACCUGGGAACUGCGUUUGAAACUGGGAGGCUAGAGUGUGGAAGAGGGGGGGGUGGAAUUCCAGGUGUAGCAGUGAAAUGCGUAGAGAUCUGGAGGAACACCGAUGGCGAAGGCAGCCCCCUGGGCUAACACUGACGCUCAUGCACGAAAGGCGUGGGGAGCAAACGAGGAUUAGAGUACCCU
rnacentral:rRNA from 1 species